GUAGGCAAAAAGCUGCUAGCUGAUGACUAGCAUUGGUUUUUGUUGUCCAUAAUGCGAUAAAUCUUAAAUAUAAAGUUUAAAUAAAAUUUAAUUAAGAAAAGAAAAUAGUGAGGUGGUAGUAGUUCAUUUAUGCUAGCUUAACUUUGACAACUGUACCAUGUAGAUGUGCUGUGUAAUAAGGUGUGUUUAGGUUCAGUUAUAAAAA